CUUGCUNCUUUUGCCGGCGAGCGGCGGACGGGUGAGUAUGCCUGGGAAUUGCCCAGUCGAGGGGGAUAACAGUUGGAAACGACUGCUAAUACCGCAUACGCCCUACGGGGGAAAGCAGGGGACCUUCGGGCCUUGCGCGAUUGGAUAUGCCCAGGUGGGAUUAGCUAGUUGGUGAGGUAAUGGCUCACCAAGGCGACGAUCCCUAGCUGGUCUGAGAGGAUGAUCAGCCACACUGGAACUGAGACACGGUCCAGACUCCUACGGGAGGCAGCAGUGGGGAAUAUUGCACAAUGGGGGAAACCCUGAUGCAGCCAUGCCGCGUGUGUGAAGAAGGNCUUCGGGUUGUAAAGCACUUUCAGCGAGGAGGAAAGGNCAGUAGCUAAUAUCUNCUGACUGUGACGUUACUCGCAGAAGAAGCACCGGCUAACUCCGUGCCAGCAGCCGCGGUAAUACNGAGGGUGCAAGCGUUAAUCGGAAUUACUGGGCGUAAAGCGCACGCNNNGGUUGGAUAAGUUANAUGUGAAAGCCCCGGGCUCANCUGGGAAUUGCAUUUAAACUGUCCAGCUAGAGUCNUGUANAGGGG
rnacentral:rRNA from 1 species